UAUCGAGAUAUAAUUCACAUACCAUACAAUUCACCCAUUUAAACUGUGCAAUUCAGUGGUUUUUACUAUAUUGACAGAUAUGUGCAACCUUCACCACAAUGCCUGUU